GGCCGUCUGGCGAAAUGGCAUCGCGUCUGACUACGAAUCAGGAGAUUGCAGGUUCGACUCCUGCGUCGGUCA
rnacentral:tRNA from 1 species